rnacentral:rRNA from 1 species
GAUGAACGCUGGCGGCGUGCCUAAUACAUGCAAGUCGAGCGAACGGACGAGAAGCUUGCUUCUCUGAUGUUAGCGGCGGACGGGUGAGUAACACGUGGAUAACCUACCUAUAAGACUGGGAUAACUUCGGGAAACCGGAGCUAAUACCGGAUAAUAUUUUGAACCGCAUGGUUCAAAAGUAAAAGACGGUCUUGCUGUCACUUAUAGAUGGAUCCGCGCUGCAUUAGCUGGUUGGUAAGGUAACGGCUUACCAAGGCAACGAUGCAUAGCCGACCUGAGAGGGUGAUCGGCCACACUGGAACGGAGACACGGUCCAGACUCCUACGGGAGGCAGCAGUAGGGAAUCUUCCGCAAUGGGCGAAAGCCUGACGGAGCAACGCCGCGUGAGUGAUGAAGGUCUUCGGAUCGUAAAACUCUGUUAUUAGGGAAGAACAUAUGUGUAAGUAACUGUGCACAUCUUGACGGUACCUAAUCAGAAAGCCACGGCUAACUACGUG